UUUCUAUAGUGAUUUACAAAAGUAGGUUUCUAUGUUUCCACAAAAUCUUUUCGCAAACAAAGCGGUAUAAAAAACAACAGCAAAAAAACAUCGUGCAGCUUAUAAAAUGCUUUUAAAAUGAUGUGAAGGCAUUUCUAUAACGAUUAGAUUCAUUUAUACAAUACAAUCAACCUUUUUAAACUGCAAAAAAAAGCAUAUUAUUUUCAAUCGAUCGUAUCUGUUUUUGAUUGUUCUGGAAAAAGAUGUAUUCAAAAAUUUUGUUCCAAAAAUUAGUCAUUCUUUUCCUUGCAGUUUUUUGUGCAAUUAUUUAUUUUUUUGCUUACUUCAAAGACGGUAUACAUCGGUUCCAAAUGGUUAAAUUGUGGCGUGGUGUUACACAAAAUGCUGCUAGAUUUUCGCAGAACUUUGAGUUUGAUCAAAAAUCCAAAGUUGAAAUUGUACAUUUGAAACACUUUUCGGAAAAUUUUUCUUCAACAAACCAACAAUUAUUUUUCACUGAAACAGGUUUUAGAAGCACUUUAAGAGGUCGCCAACUUUGUUCUAUCGAAUCUGCUAUUCUCAAUUCUGGCCUACGUGUUAAAGUUCUUAUGACAAAAAAUUAUUUGGAAGUAAAACAGAACUCUGUUAUUUCAAAUUUUCUUUACUAUUAUUAUCCAGAAAUAGUGGAUUUCUAUUACAUUGAUGCGGAAGAAAUAUUAAAAAACACACCACUGGAAGGAAUAUCCAAGACGAGAAUAACCCAAGGAAAAUACCGUGGAAAUCACUUAAGCGAUUUUGUCCGCCAUGCCCUCAUAUAUAAGUUUGGAGGUUGAGGGUCUCUACUAAAAAAACUGCCAGCAAAAAAAUUUUUUCUAACAAAAACAUAACAAACGAAAUAUUGUUUGUCGAUACCAUUGUUUGUCUACGACGUUAAAUUUAGAUUUAAUUUUUUGUACGAGAACUACCAGGGUAAUCUAUUUUUUAAAAUAUUCUAUUGACCCAUUUUUUAAUUCAAUUGUUCGAAGCUAGAUCGAUUCGAAAAUAUUUUUUACCUGCGUCAGACAAAGCGUGAAUCAUCUGUCGCCACUGAGUGUGGUGAUCAACUAUUGAUUUAAAAUUUUUUCAAAAAUUGCCUUCAUUGCUUUGUUAUUUUUUGCUGUGCAAAAUGGGAAUCAGAAAAACUUUGCCAGCUUAUAAAGUAGAAAGACCCUAUUUCUGUUGGUUUUUUUGUUUCCAAAACUUUUUUUCUUUAAACAAAACCGGGACAGUGAGCAUGAAAAACUGCAGCUCAAAGACUCUGAAAAACCUUUAACUUUUCAACUCACCUCCAUUUUUGUUUCUGAUUACAGGGUCCAAAAAAGCAACAAACUUAUUCAUUUACAUACAAAUCAAAUGGUAGCUGAUUUACUCAUUAUUAAAAAUAAAGUAAGUACCAAAAACCAAGAAGAUUAUUUAAAAAAUCAAAAAUGGUAAAUUAUCAGACAUUGAUCAAGGCAGAUGUAAGCAUGCCAUUAAAAUAAAUAGGAGUUUUUAGCCUGUUGAAAAAAGUUAUCCAGAGAAACGGAAAAAAUCUAAUUUUUGUAAUGCAGAACUACAAUAUGCAGACAAAAAAAUAAAGUUUGCAUGCAAAACUGUUUUUUGGAAAUGUUUGUAUGAGUGCAAAACUCAAUUUGCGAUUGAAAAAUUGGGACAAUUUUAAUGUUACUUGGAAAAACUUUGGUUGUCGCCAUCCAAAAAAAAUGGUGGUCGUACAAUUUUCAUAUAUGGAAAUUGUAUGAAAAACAUUUUUUUCCAAAAAAAAACAAAUUUUUUUUCACCACCAGACUGUUUUAUUUGGUUCAAACAGCCGCAGAAACUAAUUCGAAUUUUUUUCAAUGACUUUUUGAAACUGUGUGAAAAGUGUAUGACAUCAUUUUUCUACACAUUUGAUGUAUGGAAUUGUAUGAUAAGCAUUUUCGGUGGAUGAAAGUGUAAGAUAAUCAUUUUCUGUUUAUGGAGGUCAACCCGGGUAAGUAAUCCACUUUAGCAUUGUUUUGCUGAUCUGUAUUACGAGGCCAAACCGUGCAUUGGAUAGGCGCGCGAUUUUGUGUAUGUAUGUUCCUGGAUUCCAGAGACAAAUCUUUGAACAUUUUGAUAUUUUGUCGGAAUGAUUUAAGAAACUGAAAGAAUAAAAGUGUUAAGAUUCAGAGUUAGAGCAACUAGGAUUAAGAACUGCGGUUAGAGACUGAGAGAUAAUCUGAGGCUUGAAGUGAGGAUUGAGAAGAGGUAGUGAUUGAUGAAGAAGGAAUUGAGAAAGUGAAUAUAACUGACAUGACAAACUAAGCAUCACAAAAGUACCAUUUAAUAAAUUGGUGACUAAUUAAUUAGUUUGACCUAGUUGACCUUGUCUGACUUGGUCUGACCUCAACAAAAAGAAGAACAAAAGAGCGCGUCCUUGUUGCGUAAUCCGCUUUCAAUUUACAAAAUACACAGUUUAGUCUCGUAAUGCGUAGCCAAACAAUUCGAACUUUUCUCAAGAAGGUUUUUCUAUAACCAGUUACUAAUAACAAUCAAAAUAAGAGAAAAAUUGUAUUAGUCGACACCACUCCCCCGCCCCACUUUUAACAAAUCAACCCCCUCACGACUCGAAGAGUCCCUUUUUUGGUGUUGUUUUACGGUAUCCAUUUUUUGGCCGGCCUACAGACAGCUCUUGAAGGCUGACUAUAUUUGAGGGCUGAGCACACCGAAAAAACAGAAUUUAUGUUUAAAAAAAUUAUAAAUAAGGGCCUAAAACGGCACUUAUGUUUUUUUUUAAUCAGGCUCCUAAGGAACACUGUAACUCUCUAAGCAAAAACUAUUGCUCUUUUACUUAAUAGCCUCCCAUAAAAGGGGAUACUCGAGAACUUCAGCCGGUGUAAUUUUGCCCACUCGUUUCCAAGAAAAAAUUUAUUAAUUGAUAUUUGAGAUUUUAAAUACAGGUUUAAGACGCAUAUGUUUAUUUCCUAACCUAUCUCAAGUUUUGAAGAUAUAUGACAAACAAAAGUUUUCGAAAAUGAUCUCAUUAACAUUUUUUUAAAAGAUACAAUUUUAAAAAUUGAAAGGUUAAAUACGAAAAAGGAAUCGAAAAAGAAUUGACCCUCUCAGGUUUUUACGCGGACUUGGACGUUGUGAUUAUCCGGAAUUUGAAGGAGUUGCGAAAUGUAUAUUGUGUCGACCGAAUGUGGAACUACCAGAAAAUUCCUGAUAAUUGCACGUUGCCAGAAGCGACUCAAUUUGCAGACAGGGGACUUCAAACGGGGCAGUUUCAGUUCAACAAGGGCAGCAAAUUUGUUUAUGACGUCAUGGUAGAAAUGAACCGCACUUAUGACCAAAACAGAGAUACAUAUAUGGCUGCGGGAAUUCCUAUACCCUUUCGAGUAGCCAAAAAAUUCUUGAAUCGGGAGCAAGUUUACAACACAAACACGUCCGAGCUUACAAUUUUGCCGUCCUUUACUUUUCUCCCGGCUUACAAUUUAAUCGACGAAGUAUUUUUCUCGAAACAAGAGCGGAACGAGUCUUUCUGGCAACAUUUGUUCCGAUGUUCGUUUUCGACCCACAUGCUGAACUCGCGACUGAAGAAUUAUGCCGUGACAGGAGACGCGAAGCAUGAGAUGUACUCCUAUUUAGGACCUAGAUAUUGCCCCAAGUCUUUUAUUGAUCUCAAAAAAUUUUAAGCAACAAAAUUUUUCAGCAGUUAUUGAUGUAGUACUUGAGUACUAAUUUUCUUUCAGUAGAAACAGGCUGAAAACUCCGUAAUUACAUAAAAUUGACCUAAAUUUUAUAAGUAAAGUAAUGAAAAGAGGUCAAUAACGCCAAAUAUUUA